rnacentral:rRNA from 1 species
GAUGAACGCUGGCGGCGUGCCUAAUACAUGCAAGUCGAGCGAACGUACGAGGAGCUUGCUUCUCUGAUGUUAUCAGCGGACGGGGUAGUAACACGUGGAUAACCUCCCUAUCAGCCUGGGUUAAAUUCGGGAAUCCGGAGCUAAAACCGGGUAUAAUUCUGAACCGCAUGGUUCAAAAGUGAAAUACGGUCUUCCAGUCACUUAUGGACGGAUCCGCGCUGACUUAUCUUGUUGGUAAGGUAACGGUUUACCAACGCAAAGAUGACUAACAGACCCGAGAGCGAGGAUGACCACACUGGAACUGAGACACGGCCCAGACUCCGACGCGAGGCCGCAGUAGGGAAUCCUCCGCGAUGGGCGAGAGCCUGACGGAGCAACGCCGCGUGAGUGAUGAAGGUCUUCGGAUCGUAAAACUCUGUUAUUAGGGAAGACCAUAUGUGUAAGUAACUGUGCACAUCUUGACGGUACCUAAGCAGAAAGCCACGGCUAACUACGUG